GACGAACGCUGGCGGCGCGCUUAACACAUGCAAGUCGAACGGAAAGGCCUGCUUUCCCUUGUGGAUUGCGGGUACUCGAGUGGCGAACGGGUGAGUAACACGUGAGUGAUCUGCCCCCAACUUGGGUAUAAGCCUGGGAAACUGGGUCUAAUUCCCGAUAGGACUGCAGGGUGGUGCCUGUGGUGGAAAACGAUUUUCUAGUGGUUGGGGAUGAGCUCGCGGCCUAUCAGCUUGUUGGUGGGGUAAUGGCCUACCAAGGCGGCGACGGGUAGCCGGCCUGGGGGGGUGGACGGCCACAUUGGGACUGAGAUACGGCCCAGACUCCUACGGGAGGCAGCAGUGGGGAAUAUGGCACAAUGGGCGGAAGCCUGAUGCAGCGACGCCGCGUGGGGGAUGACGGCCUUCGGGUUGUAAACUCCUUUCGACCGCGAGGAAGCCACCUGGUUGGAAGGGUGGUGACGGUAGUGGUAGAAGAAGCACCGGCUAACUACGUG
rnacentral:rRNA from 1 species